ensembl:antisense uridine-cytidine kinase 1-like 1, opposite strand
UGCUGGCUUACAGCACUAAGUCUGGCAGGGCUCAGAGAAGGAAGCUUCCAAGUGGACUUCAUGCAUCUGAAAAGGAGCCACUCUGGGAACUGCCUGGGAGGCAACCCUUCUCACUACCUAGGUAACUUGUGGGUAACAGCUCUGUCAUUUAUGGCUCAAACGCCACUCACCAGGGAGUUGCUGCAGACCUGUAUGUAUCCUUAUCAGAGAAAUAGAGGCUACUGAGAACCUAAGCAGGUGCCUCAUCGAUAAGGAAACUACAUAAGACAGUAUCUUGGAAGUUAGAGCUGCCCUGUAACUUGCAUCCCCCAUAUCUCAGAAACCAGAAUGAAAGGUCUACAGCAGAGACGGAAGAGAGGAAGUCUCGUCACUUGGACCACCAAAGAACUAAGGUCUCAAGGUCCCUCUACUAUGGUUAAAUCUAUAGUCAAGCAACCCAUCCCAGUGCUUCUGUGGAAUUCCUGCAAGAGGCAGGAGGCGGUUCAGAGAGUCAUCAAAGCCAUUUUCACAAGGUAGACACAGGACUGGGGGAUUAGAGGCUUUCAUGGCCUCACUUGCCAACCUGCACCCCAAGGCUCUGGGUGAGUACCAUUAACUUCUCUCCACUCUCUAUAAUUCCAAACCAAUCUCCACUUUGCAUAUCGACAUGAAAGCCAAUGGCUGUGCCAGCUAAGGUCAGCCGACUCCAAGGAAAAAGCCUCAAGGGGAGGCAGAUAUGGAGACAGGAGCUGGGAAAAGCAGUAGGAGAAACCUCACGCUGGACAUUACGUCUACCAGUGACUCUCUCCCCUACUGCUGCCAGUGCCUGAAGCACCAGGGCAGUUUGUAUCUUCUCAAGGUGUUUCCUCAGGAACCUUCAGAGGAGGUAUUUGGCCACGGCCUCACAAAGUCAGACUCCUGGUCAGAAUGCCUGGAGUGUGUGAACUAGCUGGGAUUCACCUCAUCCACUGUCAGCACCUCAUGUCCUAAAGGCGUCCGGGGUUACUGCUUCUCAGGCGGUGACUCAGGCCUGCAAAGCCGGAAGACAUUUGGCCUUAAACGGGCUCAUUCAGACCGGAAGAGGUGCCACAUGCAGUUUCCAAGCAUGGUCACCGCCCCCUGGCGGCCGCAACUUAGAGUUGCUACUAGUGAUGAUCAGUGAAGACAAGGACCCCUUUAUCUACUACUUCCUACAAGGACCCUUAUCUCCCCUUCCGUUCUCCUGAAAGCCUCGAAAGUCUCAAAGGCCCCCAAAUUCUCGGACAGGUGGAGAUCACCACCCCAUCUUACAUUCACAAGCAGGUGCAACUUUGCGCUCAAUUUCGACGAAGUCAGAAGGUCGAACACGCCUACCGCCCAGCUGGGAGCCCAGAGCCAAGUGCGCACCCACUAGGGACAGAAACCCAGGCUAAAGAGGUCAAACAGGUUUCCACUCUCCGUGCCUCCAAAAGCUGGGGCUUGGGCCAGUUCCGCCUUCCGUCCGCUGGGGCCCUUCAGGUCGCCUGCCACCUCCCUCUCCCUGGCAGAGGGUGGCCGACACAUAGCCCAGGAGGCCCCAAGGCGCUGGAGAGCCGCCGAAACCUGUCCAGGAUCCACGAGGCUGUGGAGAUCAAGCUGCCCAUCUAUGGAGAUGCCCGGAGCCGUCCCGGCUUUAGGAAGGGAUGCAAGCCGUACUCCGACCCCUCCCAAGAGACAAGCGCGGCCCCUGCCUUAUUCAGGCCCGCGCCUACCGGUCCUCGCACGCUGUUUCACUCUGCUCGGCCGGGCGGCCAGGCACGUCUGGGGCCACAGCGGACUGCAGGGACGAAGGGGCGGCGCUCAUUGAGGCCGGCGGCGCAGCCAUGGCGUCUCGAACCUGGCGGAGGCCAGGGAGGCGCACCGGGAGGCAGGCACGCUGCGGACUACAAUCCCCACAAGGCCGUGCGGUAGGCCCCGAGAAUGGCCCUUGCCUCAACACAAACUCAGCCGCACAAAAUCCCUGGAAAAAAAAAAUCAAUAAACAUUUAUUUGAUACAGUGACUUUAA